AAUGGGCGCAAGCCUGAUGCAGCCAUGCCGCGUGUAUGAAGAAGGCCUUCGGGUUGUAAAGUACUUUCAGCGGGGAGGAAGGCGAUAAGGUUAAUAACCUUGUCGAUUGACGUUACCCGCAGAAGAAGCACCGGCUAACUCCGUGCCAGCAGCCGCGGUAAUACGGAGGGUGCAAGCGUUAAUCGGAAUUACUGGGCGUAAAGCGCACGCAGGCGGUUUGUUAAGUCGGAUGUGAAAUCCCCGGGCUCAACCUGGGAACNGCAUCUGAUACUGGCAAGCUUGAGUCUCGUAGAGGGGGGUAGAAUUCCAGGUGUAGCGGUGAAAUGCGUAGAGAUCUGGAGGAAUACCGGUGGCGAAGGCGGCCCCCUGGACGAAGACUGACGCUCAGGUGCGAAAGCGUGGGGGGCAAA
rnacentral:rRNA from 1 species